AUUGAACGCUGGCGGCAUGCUUUACACAUGCAAGUCGAACGGUAACAGGGAGCUUGCUCCGCUGACGAGUGGCGAACGGGUGAGUAAUAUAUCGGAACGUGCCCAAGAGUGGGGGAUAACGUAGCGAAAGUUACGCUAAUACCGCAUACGAUCCAAGGAUGAAAGCAGGGGACCUUCGGGCCUUGUUCCCCUGGAGCGGCCGAUAUCUGAUUAGCUAGUUGGGGAGGAAAAGGCUCACCAAGGCGACGAUCAGUAGCUGGUCUGAGAGGACGACCAGCCACACUGGAAUUGAGACACGGUCCAGACUCCUACGGGAGGCAGCAGUGGGGAAUUUUGGACAAUGGGGGCAACCCUGAUCCAGCAAUGCCGCGUGAGUGAAGAAGGCCUUCGGGUUGUAAAGCUCUUUUGUCAGGGAAGAAAAGGGUACGGCUAAUAUCCGUGCCUCAUGACGGUACCUGAAGAAUAAGCACCGGCUAACUACGUGCCAGCCGCCGCCGUAA
rnacentral:rRNA from 1 species